GACGGAGGGUGCUAGCGUUGUUCGGAAUUACUGGGCGUAAAGGGCGCGUAGGCGGCCCUGUCAGUCGGGUGUGAAAGCCCGGGGCUCAACCCCGGAACGGCACCCGAGACGGCGGGGCUGGAGACCGGGAGAGGAGGGUGGAAUAGCCAGUGCAGAGGUGAAAUUCGUAGAUAUUGGCUGGAACACCGGUGGCGAAAGCGGCUCUCUGGCCCGGUUCUGACGCUGAGGCGCGAAAGCGUGGGGAGCAAACAGG
rnacentral:rRNA from 1 species